GACGCUUUGGCCGAGUGGUCUAAGGCGCGUGACUAGAAUCCAUACAUCAUCAGAUGUGUCAAGCUAAUCACGUCCGUUCGCGGGCGUCGGUUCAAAUCCGACAGGCGUCG
rfam:Penicillium brasilianum genome assembly, contig: SCAF5